GAGCCCGUAGUUUAACGGAUUAGAAUGUCAGGUUUCGGCCCUGAAGAUGGGAGUUCGAUUCUUCCCGGGCUCG
rnacentral:tRNA from 1 species